AGUGAACGCUGGCGGCAGGCCUAAUACAUGCAAGUCGAACGGCAGCACAGCAGAGCUUGCUCUGUGGGUGGCGAGUGGCGGACGGGUGAGGAAUACGUGGGAAUCUGCCCAGUCGUGGGGGAUAACGUAGGGAAAACUUACGCUAAUACCGCAUGCGCCCUCUGGGGGAAAGCCGGGGAUCUUCGGACCUGGCGCGAUUGGAUGAGCCCACGUCGGAUUAGCUAGUUGGAGGGGUAAGGGCCCACCAAGGCGACGAUCCGUAGCUGGUCUGAGAGUAUGAUCAGCCACACUGGAACUGAGACACGGUCCAGACUCCUACGGCAGGCAGCAGUAGGGAAUAUUGGACAAUGGGCGCAAGCCUGAUCCAGCCAUGCCGCGUGAGUGAAGAAGGCCCUCGGGUUGUAAAGCUCUUUUGUUGGGGAAGAAAAGCCUUGGGUUAAAACCCUGAGGUUCUGACGGUACCCAAAGAAUAAGCACCGGCUAACUUCGUGCCAGCCGCCGCAGUAA
rnacentral:rRNA from 1 species